rnacentral:rRNA from 2 species
GGUGAUCUAGCCAUGGGCAGGUUGAAGGUUGGGUAACACUAACUGGAGGACCGAACCGACUAAUGUUGAAAAAUUAGCGGAUGACCUGUGGCUGGGGGUGAAAGGCCAAUCAAACCGGGAGAUAGCUGGUUCUCCCCGAAAGCUAUUUAGGUAGCGCCUCGUGAAUUCAUCUCCGGGGGUAGAGCACUGUUUCGGCUAGGGGGCCAUCCCGGCUUACCAACCCGAUGCAAACUGCGAAUACCGGAGAAUGUUAUCACGGGAGACACACGGCGGGUGCUAACGUCCGUCGUGAAGAGGGAAACAACCCAGACCGCCAGCUAAGGUCCCAAAGUCAUGGUUAAGUGGGAAACGAUGUGGGAAGGCCCAGACAGCCAGGAUGUUGGCUUAGAAGCAGCCAUCAUUUAAAGAAAGCGUAAUAGCUCACUGGUCGAGUCGGCCUGCGCGGAAGAUGUAACGGGGCUAAACCAU